rnacentral:rRNA from 1 species
UACGUAGGGCGCAAGCGUUAUCCGGAAUUAUUGGGCGUAAAGAGCUCGUAGGCGGUUUGUCGCGUCUGCCGUGAAAGUCCGGGGCUCAACUCCGGAUCUGCGGUGGGUACGGGCAGACUAGAGUGAUGUAGGGGAGACUGGAAUUCCUGGUGUAGUGGUGGAAUGCGUAGAGAUCCGGAGGAACACCAGCGGCGAAGGCGGCAUCCUGGACUGGUCCUGACACUCAGGAGCGAAAGCGUGGGGAGCGAUCCGG